UCGAUUUUGCUCAGUUGGUAGAGCGGAGGAUUGUAGAUCCUUAGGUCGAUAGUUCUAAUCUGGUAGGUCGGA
rnacentral:tRNA from 1 species